rnacentral:misc_RNA from 1 species
UGGAGGAUGUUCCUGAGCCAAUUGCUCUGAUCCAGGAGAAUGAAGAUAACAAGGGUGACAACCAUGGUGCAUGUCUCAUGGAUAUGGACAUCUCCAAGAAUGAUGAUCUAGAUGAAUCAGAUGCUGGUGGACUAAUCCCUGCUGGCACUUCACCUUCAACAUCAGGGAGAGAAAAUGAAUCUAAAAGUUCUGAUGUAAUUAUUCAAAUGGACGUUUCUAA